GAGUCUCGUAGCAUCGCCGGCUCGCGCGCGUGUUGACGUUUGUAUUCGUAGCAUGUGGGUAGUAUAUGCGCCGCCGUGUUUGCAAGAAGAGGAGCUGCUUUGCGGGGGGAAAAAUGAGAUCUGCACUUCGGCAAUCUCGCGAACAGAAUGAGCAACUCGGCGCUUCACUGUUCCGUACUCGGUUGCACGGACAACGCGAGGCAUCUACAGUCUCUACACAACGUUGCUCUGCAUCCAGCUCCACGCGACACUUGCCUUCGCCGCGUGUGGCUUCAACGUAGUGGCCUCCCGGGAGACUGCAAGCACUGCAACAACGCAUCAGUUUUCGUUUGUGGGCGGCACUUCGCCCCGGAUGACUAUGAGCGAUUGUACCAAAAAACGAAGUAUGCCGUUAAAGUGCGCCUGAAGUCGAACGCUGUACCGACGCUCCUUCUUCCGAGCGAAGAGGCAGCUCGGUCCAAUGCAUAUAAGGUGCAUACAUUGGGCAGUCGCGCAAAGACCGGACACCACCAUGUCGUCAAGGUCAAGGCCAGCACCCAAACUGAUGUGGUCACCCGUACCACAACUACGCAGACAAAAACUAAGAGAUUAAGGAGCCAAGGUACAAACACGGGCCUCAAGUGGCGAUUCUGAGGAGAUGGACGGGCAGGGAAAAAAUUUAUCCAGCCAACGCUGAAGAGGCGAGACCUCGAAGGGGCUCCACUGGAGGACAGCGAGCCACCAUCACACUAGCACCUGCUGUGGUACACUGACUGUGGUACCUUGCGUAACGUCGACCACAGGGAACCAGCGGCCUGCUGGUGAUGCCCAACGCUGCCAUCGUGAAGGUGGCACACGAAGAGCGCAUACAAGAAAGCUUCAACCAUUACAUUACUUUCAACAUCAUUAAAGCAGUACUGACGUUGAAA